GGGUCAGGGAGUGGCCCAAAAGGCCUAAGAAAAUUUGUGUUCAGGUUUGAAUCUGCUCUAGCUCCUUACAAAAGCUGAUACAGUAUCAGUCAUCAUCAUCAGAGGGUCUCAAAUAGAGUUUGCUUAGAUUACAGAAUCAACAGAUUCGAUCUAACCCCCAGUCAGGCAGGAUUAGAUAAACAUAGAAGUGCAUAAUUGCUUUACCAAGUUUGACUACAAAUUGUGAAAUAUCUCAGUCUAAGGUAUAGCCAAGCAACCCGUGAAAUAAUCUCACUGAGUUGGCUGGCUAGAUGCAGAAGAUGGAGAUAAUGUAACUGGAAAGAGGAAAAAUUUGUCUAUCCAGAAGUGAAGACAGCAGGUAGACAGACCCAGCCAGCUACUGAGGGACAAUGAAAAGCCAUUUGAAUUGGGGAAAGUGAGGAGAGGCGGAAGGUGUCAUGCAAAUUAUAACUAAAUUAUUGGAGGAAACUGCAGCAGAACAGGAAAUGUGCAUGUGGAUAAGUGAAGCCUCCAUUAAUGGCUUCACUGCAUUUAUCAGAAGGGGUUUCAAUAAGCCUGAUGAGGUUCAAGGCAGUCUCAGUAGGAAGAAGAGCUGGAUUUAGGAUUAAUCCCCUGUUGUUUCCUAUAGCAAUUUAUAAAGGAAAUGUUUCAGGUGAGAGCCUAGCUUGGAAUUAAUCCUCAAAUGAUUAGAAUAAGAUUUUUUUUUAAGAAAAAAAAGAAGAACCCGAAAGGCAGUGAAUCCCAAACUUGGCUACACAUUUGAAUCAUUUAGGGAUCUUUUAAAACUUCCAAAGCCCGAGGCCACACUGCAGACCAAUUACAUCACAAUCUCUAAGGUGGGACACAGGAAUUAGAAAUUUCCAGUGUUCCUCAUUGAUUCCAAGGAACAGACAAGAUUGGGAAUAACUAUGUAAUGAGCAGUAUGCACAGUGGAGACAUGUUAGGCAUGUUAGUUAAAGGAAAAUAAGUAUAGUCAUUAAGAAAUGGCAAUAAAUUAGCCUGCCUUAAAAAGUAUAAGAUGCACAUCUUGUGUUUCCUUUAUUUGUAAUUUUUUAAAAAGAUUUAUUUAUUUAUUUUAGAAAGAGAGAGAGUGUGUGUGUGUGUGCACUAGUGAGGUGAGGGAGGUGGGAGGGCAAACAGACUCCAGACUUGUGCUUAGUGUGGAGCCACAUGCAGGGCUGGAUCUCAGGACCUUGAGACCAUGACCUGAGCUGAAACCAAGAGUUGAACGCUUAGCUGACUGCACCAGCCACAUUUUAAAAAGUAUUUAUUGGGCAGCCCGGGUGGCUCAGCAGUUUAGUGCCUGCCUGCAGCCCAGGGCAUGACCCCGGGGUCCCAGGAUCCCGGGAUCCCGGGAUCGAGUCCCACAUCAGGCUCCCUGCAGGGAGUCUGCUUCUCCUUCUGCCUCUCUCUGUGUCUCUCAUGAGUAAAUAAAUAAAAUAUUAAAAAAAAAUAAAAAGUAUUUAUCAUAAGUGUUCAAGAAAAAUGAAGGCGGCCUGGGUGCCUCAGCGGUUUAGCGCUGCCUUCAGCCCAGAGCCUGAUCCUAGAGACCCAGAGUCCCAGGCUCCAUGCACCGGGAGCCCGACGUGGGAUUCGAUCCCGGGUCCCCAGGAUCGCGCCCUGGGCCAAAGGCAGGCGCCAAACCGCUGCGCCACCCAGGGAUCCCGUUAAUAUAAUCUUUUAAGAAAAGAAAAAUGAAUGAAGAUACAAAGCCACUUUUUUUUGGCAGGGGGAGACAGGCAGAGGGAGAGAAUCUUUUGUUUGUUUAUUUGUUUGUUUGUUUGUUUGUUUUUUUAGAGGGAGAGAAUCUUAAGCAAGCUCCACACCCAGCAUGGAGCCCGACUUGGAAUUUGAUCGCUCAACACUGUGAUCGUGACCUGAGCUGAAAUCAGGAGUUAGGCACUUAACUGAGCCACCCACGUGCCCCACAAAGCCACAUUUUAAGAAGGAAAUAAGCAAGCAAGAGUUAAAUUCAAGUAAUUAUUGAGUGAAGACCUUGAACUUGUUGUCUGGGAGUGGGAUAGAAAUCAAGAGGGUUCAUUACCAUUAUGGUUAUAGCGAUUUAUAUAUUUUUGCCUCAUAAAAUGUUCACAUCCAUGACCUAAUUUUAGCUUGCAUCUCUGUGAAGUAGGCAGAGAAAGUAUUAUUUUUCUCUCCCACUUCCACAGAUGGGAAAACAGAUCAAGAGAGUCUCACAACUGACUCAGCAUUACAGAGCAAAGCUAAUGGCAGGAGUAGGACUAGGAUUUCAUUCUUCAAAACUCCCAGUUGAAUGUCCUUUCCUCCACCCAUGUUGCCUUUCUGCCCUUGAAAAACUCUGUAAGAGUGGGAAAAUUUACAGUGAUAACUAAAACAAGAAAACAUGACACCUGGAGAGUUGAAAAAAAGAGUUCUCCCAUUAGGGGAAAAAAAUCUAGAACAGAUGCCAAAAGACACAUCAAGGUGGUAGCAAAGUGCUGGACACCCUGCCCUUGAGGAUGCCUCAUGAAUAUUUGAUGAUAUUAAUACACUGGAUUUGCCUCCAAAGUUGCAUUGGGUUGGGGGGCAGGAGUAAGGUCAUUGAGGUCACAAGCAAUGAUUUUUGAGGCCUAAAAAAAUAGAAGUAGCCUUACAGCUACUUUAGCGUACAGUUUGAGGGCCUCUUUUAAGUCAAGUAGAUUGCGAAAGAGCCAGUGAGUGGUUGUUGCCCUGGUGGAUGCUUUGCUUGCAAGAAAUAGAAAUUCACUGGCAUUGGCUUAUCUACAAUAGGAAGGUGUCUUAUAGGUCCUAUGGGUAAAAAUCACAUCUGGCUUAAGGAAAAACUAGAACUGGGAACUUGCAGACCUUCAGAAACUCAGAAGAUGUGCGUUCUCUCCAUGAUCUCUCUUCCGGAGUGUUUUGCCCAUAUUUUUCUGAAGAGUUCCCUCUUCUGCUCUGUCCCCAUGUGAGAUCAAAAGCAGAUACCCACAGCUCCCAAGUUCAUAUUCCAGCCAUAUGAACCAACUCUCUCUCCCCAUUCCUCUUUCUCAAACACAAACUCCCAUGGAAGGAGCUCUUUCAGCUUAAAUUGGCUCAGGAAUCCAUCCCUGAUCCAGUCAACUAUGACCAGGGGUCAGGGUCCCAUUAGUCAUGAGCAGCUGUUGAAAGCCACCCUCUACAGAUGGCAAUAAGGCAUUUAUAGAUAGAAAUCAUUUAAGCUGAGCAUAUACCUCAAAAUAUAUCCACCACUCACACCCACUAGGAUGGCUAU
rnacentral:lncRNA from 1 species